rnacentral:rRNA from 1 species
CUCCUACGGGACGCAGCAGUGAGGAAUAUUGGUCAAUGGGCGGAAGCCUGAACCAGCCAAGUCGCGUGAGGGAAGAAGGCCCUGCGGGUCGCAGACCUCUUUGGACGGGGAGCAAGGCCGCCGACGUGUCGGCGGAAGGAGAGUACCCGUAGAACAAGCAUCGGCUAACUCCGUGCCAGCAGCCGCGGUAAUACGGAGGAUGCGAGCGUUAUCCGGAUUUAUUGGGUUUAAAGGGUGCGCAGGCGGGCCUUUAAGCCGGCGGCGAAAACGCGGGGC